CGGAUCCAUUCCUCAAUUUGUACUACCAAGUGGCACAAUACCUGUAUGUAGAUAGUGAAGUAAUAUUGUUCUACAUACACCUAUUGAGCCACCUGGUGGAUUCGCAAAACUCUUUGAUGUCUA
rnacentral:precursor_RNA from 14 species